AGUUAAUUAUAGUAUGAACUAGGAAAUCAUUUCAGUAUAAUCAGUUCAGUGUCAUUCAGUUGGGAGUAGGAUUCAGCAUCGAGCGAACCCAAGGAUGGAAACUCACCUGCCAGUAGAGGGUGUGAUUCUUAGAACCAGUCCUUGCGUUCCAGAACUAUGUAGCCAGCAUAGGUUGAGACAUCAAUACCUGUUAGUUGAGGGUAGAUGAGGUGGAUUAACCUGUCAGAUGAGCGUUCCCACCGUUCUCAUUAGAGUACCUGCCAGAUGAGGGUCACUCACAGC
rnacentral:lncRNA from 1 species